GCCGAGCACCAACACCAACAAACCUGCCAUAGAAGCAACAACAUGAGAAUAAAAUAUCUCAUUGCAAAGGAAUAGAUUUAUACAUUAUUAUGCUGUUGGCAGACAUUACAGAAAAAGCCAAAUAUCAUUCACGAAUUUAGCAGCUAAGAGUGACAAAAUGGUAUGAAACAACUCUGCAUAACCUUUAAUCUGACAAGAAUGGUUUAAGUAGGCUAAAAAAGGCUUUUAAUCUACAAACCUAAGAGGACCAGUUGGACUCAAAGAAGUUAUCAUUCAGAUGAAAGGCCAGUCAGAUCCAGUAGCUAGAACAGCCUUAUGGAAGAGUUUAUGUGUUAGCAACUACGGAAGUGUUUAUGUGAUAGCAACUGGUCAACUGUUUCUGUGAUACCUCAUUCAUGUCAGGACCAAAAAAGGAAAAUUGUAACAUAUGCUACAAUUGGACAAGAGAUAUUCUACUGAGACUUUAUUUGAUAAUGAGACAAACAAUAUGAGCAUCUACCUAGAGGAAAUAUAUGCAUACUUAAGUUGAACUUAC
rnacentral:misc_RNA from 1 species